rnacentral:rRNA from 1 species
AACGCGAAGAACCUUACCUGGGCUUGAACCGCUACUGACCAACGGUAGAAAUAUCGUCUUCCCGCAAGGGACAGUAGUAGAGGUGCUGCAUGGCUGUCGUCAGCUCGUGCCGUGAGGUGUUGGGUUAAGUCCCGCAACGAGCGCAACCCUUACUCGUAGUUGCUACCCGCAAGGGAGAACUCUACGAGGACUGCUCCGGAUAACGGAGAGGAAGGUGGGGAUGACGUCAAGUCAGCACGGCCUUUAUGUCCAGGGCUACACACGUGUUACAAUGCACGGUACAGACUGUUGCGAACCCGCGAGGGGGAGCUAAUCGGAUAAAACCGUGCUCAGUUCGGAUUGCAGUCUGCAACUCGGCUGCAUGAAGCUGGAAUCGCUAGUAAUGGCGUAUCAGAUCGACGCCGUGAAUACGUUCCCGGGCCUUGUA